GACGGAGGAUGCAAGCGUUAUCCGGAAUGAUUGGGCGUAAAGCGUCCGCAGGUGGCAGUUCAAGUCUGCUGUCAAAGACCGGGGCUCAACCUCGGAAAGGCAGUGGAAACUGAACAGCUAGAGUAUGGUAGGGGCAAAGGGAAUUCCUGGUGUAGCGGUGAAAUGCGUAGAGAUCAGGAAGAACAUCGGUGGCGAAGGCGCUUUGCUUGGACCAUAACUGACACUCAGGGACGAAAGCUAGGGGAGCGAAUGGG
rnacentral:rRNA from 1 species